UGGACAGUGUGAUAAGUCUGAACCAGUACCACAAACGCCCAGUUAGAAUAGUAUAAAAGGAGCUGAAGACCUCAAGCAAGUCGACGAUCCGUCCCACCGACCAGUCUACUAGUCAGUCUGUUGAUCUGACUACCGACCGGGACACCUGCACCUGAUCCCGCUGGAAGGAGCAUCGCCGCCGACCAGACGAGACCAGAGGACGAGGCCAGCGGAGAGAGGGACAGCCUAGCUCCGACUCGACGCCCUUCAUCUACGGAUGGGACCCUCUGACCCGACGGGAGGAAACAUCGCGCUCCCAUAAGGACUUGUGCAGUACAGGCCCCCAAGAGAGACCCCUGCCCAACUGAGAAAGAAAAAACCCCAGCAGAUGUAUUGCCUACAAGAACAGCUGUAACAGGAAGCCCGCUGCCGCCUCGCUCAUUCACACCUCCAGGGAGACCCAUUCUCCGAAAAACCACAAGGUCAGUGAAGAAGUAGGCUCCUCCAGGAACUCACUUCAGUGGCUCGGCCAGAAACACUGCAGGACCAGAGAGGAGCAGCCGGCGCCCGAACGCUGGCAUCAGCUCCCCAUACUGGCAGGACUUGUGCUUGUUUUUGGCAGAGGAGACCACAGCAGCUGCUGAAGUAGCCCAGUGGUGAGACAUGGGUGUUAUUUCUGGCUGUGAGAUUACAAACCUAUGAAAUUCCUUCUCUGUACAAACUAGAAUAUGUGGAAGAGAGUCUGUUAUUUCUAUAUUUUAAAAACAUAACUAUAUUCUCUAUAUUUUUAACAUUUUUCUAUUAAUAUUUCAUAUUAAUAUAAAGAAUCAGUCAGCCCAAUUCCCUUGACCUAUGGGCUGCCAAUUGAUUAUACAAGAAGGAAGCCUUCCCUGAACCUUAAGCCCCCCAGGGCGGUUAUGUGCCCUUGACCUGCAUUCAUUUUUUCAAUCACUUAUUGCAGUUUCUAUUGUACACUUUUGUGUGAUUGAGUGACAUCUGUCCCCUUACAGCCUAACGGUCCUGAAAUCAGUAAUUACAUCUAUUUUAGUUACCAGCACUUACCAGCUGGCAUGCAGUCGAUGCUCAAUAAAUGCUGUUAUGGCUUGUGUCUAGAUGUCCCUCCAAAGCCUCAUGCAGUCGUGGG